rnacentral:lncRNA from 1 species
UUUCAGUGCAAUCUGUUAAGCUGAAGUCCAAAUUAUCAGUUUAUAUCUGGUGUAAAUAAAAUAACUCAUGGAUUUGAUGAUUUUUCCCAAUGGUCCCCAACUGGCAUGGGUGUUUUGCUUUUAUUUAUUCACUGCCAGUGGCCGUUCCUCUCCAUUUUUCUAUCUUAAGGAAGAACCAAGCAAACUUCCCUUCUUCAUAUUCCUGGGUCCCGGUGUCCGAUCUGGGGAGGGGCCCAGGUGACUGCGGCCUGCUGUCUGGAAUCCCCCAGGGGCAGAGGCAGGCUAGACUGGGGGUACACUUCACCCAGAGGACACAGCCGGCUCUGGCAGCGCUGGAGAUCAAAGGGGUAAGCAUUCUGUCCCUCUUCCAAGAUGAAGUCUCUCUCCAUAUUUGGGAAUCUGGAAUGGGCCCUCGGGGCACUGGCCGGUCUCCCUCGGUGUCUGCUGGGAGCUGUAGUUCCCCAUCAUCAGGAGCUGAUGGCUGCUUUCCUGUGAGCUGCAAGCGGGCUGUCCUUUCCUAGGACAUCUGCAAGCAGGAAACCUGUACAUACACAGCGGGAAGGAAGGGAAUCAGCGGGAGGUUUGCCUUCUAUCUUCAGCUUUGGUUUUGAGCAAGGCACCAUGCCUGUGCCUCAGUCUCCCAACCUGGAAAAUGGGAAUAAUUACCUCUCUCCCUUCCUAGCUGCCAGAUUGUUGGGUGGAGUAAUGAGGCAGCAUCCAUUACGUGCUUUGAACUCAUUCCAGCAAGGAGUGCUUUUAUAAAUAGACACUGCUAUCUCUAAAGGGGAAAAUACUAGUUUUCAUUGUCUAAUAGUCUUCCUAAGUCAACUCUGCCUAUACGUCCAAAAGAUGUAUUUUAAUUCCUGUGUCCUCCACCUACUCGUGUCUAAUGGUGUUGCUGCAUCCCAUUCUAUUCUCUUUCAUCAGCUCCAGUUUUGUUUCCUCAAAAAUAAACACGCACUCCUGAAAGGGAAAGAAUGAGACAGACUGACUCUUCCCUGUGACAAAAGCACCAGACACUCAUGAUGAAGGGAGGAUUUGGAUCUGAUUUGAGGGCCAUGAGCUUCACCUCCUUCUUCCCAGCUAGUGCCUGAUGUGACAGAGCAGCCGCUAUAGAAAAGGCCAAGCUCACUGCCAAGGGAAAGAGUUUUGAAAGAUCUUAAGAACUCCCCACGCUCAAGACUUCAGCAUUUGCACACCCAGAGCCUUUAGUUGGAAGACAGGGGCUGGUAAGAGAGUGGAGACUGCGGCAGACACAACCAGAACCAGAAUGCUUAGACUCCUGGCCCUGAGACUGCAAUAAGUCAUUUAACAUCUCUGGUUUCUUUUUCUCUAACAC